AGCAGCCUCAGGCUGAGGCCGCUGAGCUCCAGCUGGCGCUGCGCUAGGCGGCUAGAGUUAUGGGUUGCCAGUAUCCACUACAGUAGUGUGUUACCUUUGUCCAUGCUUGUGCAUGGGUACGUAUGGGGUUGCUGUCUACGCCAGGGCAAGCCCGGCCAUCAGUUAUCAUUGAUAGGGCAGUUUCUCCUGGAGCUGUGAGAAGCGAUGGAGAUGACAGAUUGCCUAGUGGAGACGCAGGGCUUGCAUGCAACACCACUUCAGUCUGUCCCCUUCUGCAGUGACCUUAUGAUAUCUAUUAGCAAGCUGGUGGAGGCACAAGUCCAGGAGCAGAGGAUACAACAGAACAGACCUACCUUAAUGUGCUGGGAAACCACUGGAUCUCCUGUGCCAGCAGCCAGCAGAGAGCAGGCUGCAGGCUGGGGAAGGGUUCCAUAUUUCUAAUCCUCCAAGGUGUACCAAGCCAUGAGUGCCUUCCCUGUCUCUAUGAUCAUGAGAAUUCCACUGGAGCAUGUUAUUCUUCAGUGCAAGGUGUGUUGACCUGGUCGUAUCCUUGGGAGUGUUGACGAGUUCAUGGCAUCUUCCUGGGCACCAUUGACCAAGACAAGAGAGGUCAAGACAAGUCUGACCCCACUGUUGAUCUCUUGGCAAUGUAAUGUCUGCAGGACUUGGCAAUUUCUCCUGGAGCUGCAGGAGGUGAUGGAGGUGGUGAUAGAAUACCUGAUGGAGACAUGGGGCUUGCAUGCAACACCUCCUCAGGCUGACCUGCGAUGACCGUUUGAUGUUUGUUAGCAAGCUGGUGGAAUCACAGGGCGAAGUGAAAAGGCUAAGCAGGAACUGAUAAAGUGUGUGCUGUCUUUAUCCGUACACUGCUGGUUUGACCCAUCGAGAUGCUGCCUCUCUCCAGGCUGGGUGGUGGAGUGCGUUCGGGCGGGUCGUUCUCCGGCAUACGGUGGCAGGCAGCCUGGGUUCAAGUUCCUGCCAGGCUGCCAUGGCAUGCGGUGGAAGAUGAACGUAGGGAUGCAGCGCUCACCCGCCCAAUGGCGUUAUGCUGGCAAGACGUGUGUGCGCUAAAAAGUGUGUCUGGUCACUGCCUUGUCACGAGUUUAGUAAGCUGUAAGGUGUUUGUCUGGUGUCGUUGUUGUAUGUCGGGAAGCAGUGCAGUGUACAACAAGGAAGGUUGGGCUAUGCCGGUCAUCCCCCUAAACAUGGGCAAACAAGUUCCGGGCGUCAGUCAUUCCCGCCACAAGUCUGGUACCGGCGUCCCUACAUAUACGCACUAUCAACUUGCAUGGUAGAGCCAUAUCUGUUUCAUCCAAGGUAACUCCUCGGCCACAUCGACGCAAGGAGUUCGACCUGUACCCGCCCAAGCAGAAGCUCCGGCAUCCUGCUGCUCCUGAUCUGUCUAAAUGAUAGCAGUCUAGUCUGCCUCUUCAGAAGAGGAAGCCGACCGCGGAGGCGUGCGGUCCGGCACAGGUCCUGCCACUUCUGAAGGGAGAACCAAAUCAGCGCUUCCUAACAACCCCUAACCUGCGGCACGAAACUGGCUAUUCUUGCAGUGGAAGACGCAAAGUGACUCGCUGCACGGAGGAAUUUGACCCUGCCUCGCACCAGCUAUGCCUUAACACGUGGUGCUAUCCAGGAGGGAAAGACGCAUUGCCUCGCUGCACCUACCAUACAGGAUUUGGACUCGCCCGGAGCACUCUCGGUGCCAUCUAGGGAGGAAGAAACAAUUUCCUCAUCUAAUUCAACCUAACCAAUACAUGUUGGCAAUCAAUCUUGUGAUGUUAUUUGUUCCAUCUUUGAAUGUACCGAACUGAACCUAACCAAUACAUGUUGCCGAUCACUCUUGUAAUGUUACUUUUCCUUCCAUCUAUGAAUGUACCCGCGUAAGUGUAAUGUUAUUGUUCCUUCCUUGUUAUGCGAUGUAUAACUUAAUAAAUCAUGAUUGAUAA